AUUGAACGCUGGCGGCAGGCCUAACACAUGCAAGUCGAGCGGAGCGGCGGACGGGUGAGUGAUGCCUAGGAGUCUACCUUGUAGUGGGGGAUAACGUCCGGAAACGGGCGCUAAUCCCGCAUCCUAUCAGCUGAGCCUAAGUCGGAUUAGCUAGUUGGUGGGGUAAAGGCCUACCAAGGCGACGAUCCGUAACUGGUAUGAGAGGAUGAUCAGUCACACUGGAACUGAGACACGGUCCAGACUCCUACGGGAGGCAGCAGUGGGGAAUAUUGGACAAUGGGCGAAAGCCUGAUCCAGCCAUGCCGCGUGUGUGAAGAAGGUCUGCGGAUUGUAAAGCACUUUAAGUUGGGAGGCGUUACCAACAGAAUAAGCACCGGCUAACUACGUGCCAGCAGCCGCGGUAAUUC
rnacentral:rRNA from 1 species